rnacentral:rRNA from 1 species
UACAGAGGUCUCGAGCGUUGUUCGGAUUCAUUGGGCGUAAAGGGUGCGUAGGCGGCGCGUUAAGACAGGUGUGAAAGCCCCGAGCUUAACUUGGGAAUUGCGCUUGUGACUGGCGUGCUGGAGUGUGGCAGAGGGAGGUGGAAUUCCACGUGUAGCAGUGAAAUGCGUAGAGAUGUGGAGGAACACCGAUGGCGAAGGCAGCCUCCUGGGCCAGCACUGACGCUCAUGCACGAAAGCGUGGGGAGCAAACAGG